rnacentral:rRNA from 1 species
UGAACGCUGGCGGCAUGCCUUACACAUGCAAGUCGACCGGCAGCACGGGUGCUUGCACCUGGUGGCGAGUGGCGAACGGGUGAGUAAUACAUCGGAACAUGUCCUGUAGUGGGGGAUAGCCCGGCGAAAGCCGGAUUAAUACCGCAUACGAUCUACGGAUGAAAGCGGGGGACCUUCGGGCCUCGCGCUAUAGGGUUGGCCGAUGGCUGAUUAGCUAGUUGGUGGGGUAAAGGCCUACCAAGGCGACGAUCAGUAGCUGGUCUGAGAGGACGACCAGCCACACUGGGACUGAGACACGGCCCAGACUCCUACGGGAGGCAGCAGUGGGGAAUUUUGGACGAUGGGCGAAAGCCUGAUCCAGCAAUGCCGCGUGUGUGAAGAAGGCCUUCGGGUUGUAAAGCACUUUUGUCCGGAAAGAAAUCCUUGGCCCUAAUACGGUCGGGGGAUGACGGUACCGGAAGAAUAAGCACCGGCUAACUACGUG